rnacentral:rRNA from 1 species
CACGUAGGGCGCAAGCGUUGUCCGGAAUUAUUGGGCGUAAAGAGCUCGUAGGCGGUCUGUUGCGUCCGCUGUGAAAACUCGGGGCUUAACCCCGAGCCUGCAGUGGAUACGGGCAGACUGGAGUACUGCAGGGGAGACUGGAAUUCCUGGUGUAGCGGUGGAAUGCGCAGAUAUCGGGAGGAACACCAGUAGCGAAGGCGGUUCUCUGGGCCUUACCUGACGCUGAGGAGCGAAAGCGUGGGGAGCGAACAGG